rnacentral:sRNA from 1 species
GCUGGUGACUGGAAGUGUCCUAAUCCGUGAGUGAAACUUUAAUUUUUUUCUUAGUUCUCUUGCAUGCGUGCCUUUGAUAUUAUGGUAAUGAGGUAUGUGCAUGUUUUCCAAAGAAGUAAAUGUCAGGGCCACACUGUUGGGGUCAGAUUUAGCCAAAAGCUUACCUAGGUAAGGUUGAUGUAAUGGGAAAGGUAAUGGAUUGGGUUCAGUAAUAAUGAUUUUUGUUCCUGACUCUGAGAAGCAAGCCAUUUUGGCUUUAUGAAGCCUCACUUUCCUCAGUGUAUCUCUAAAGUCACAGUAGUUUCUUCCUAGUUCUAGGUCUUGCCUGUUCCCCAUUGCUCCAGACUAAUUGUCUUCCUUCUCCUUAGCACCUGUGAGAAUAUGAACUUCUCUUGGAGGAAUGAAUGCAACCAGUGUAAGGCCCCUAAACCAGAUGGCCCAGGAGGAGGACCAGGUGGCUCUCACAUGGGGGGUAACUACGGGGAUGAUCGUCGUGGUGGCAGAGGAGGCUAUGAUCGAGGCGGCUACCGGGGCCGCGGCGGGGACCGUGGAGGCUUCCGAGGGGGCCGGGGUGGUGGGGACAGAGGUGGCUUUGGCCCUGGCAAGAUGGAUUCCAGGGGUGAGCACAGACAGGAUCGCAGGGAGAGGCCGUAUUAAUUAGCCUGGCUCCCCAGGUUCUGGAACAGCUUUUUGUCCUGUACCCAGUGUUACUCUCGUUAUUUUGUAACCUUCCAAUUCCUGAUCACCCAAGGGUUUUUUUUGUGUCGGGACUAUGUAAU